rnacentral:rRNA from 1 species
UGCAAGUCGAACGCGGUCAGUAGCAAUACUGACUGAGUGGCGAACGGGUGAGUAACGCGUGGGUGACCUACCUUCGAGUGGGGGAUAACGUCCCGAAAGGGACGCUAAUACCGCAUGACAUCCUGCCUUUGAACAGGCGGAGAUCAAAGCCGGGGAUCGCAAGACCCGGCGCUUGAUGAGGGGCCCGCGUCUGAUUAGCUAGUUGGUGGGGUAACGGCUCACCAAGGCGACGAUCAGUAUCCGGCCUGAGAGGGCGGACGGACACACUGGGACUGAGACACGGCCCAGACUCCUACGGGAGGCAGCAGUGGGGAAUUGUUCACAAUGGGCGCAAGCCUGAUGACGCAACGCCGCGUGGAGGAUGAAGGUCUUCGGAUUGUAAACUCCUGUUGCUCGGGAAGAACAGCUUCGACCUAAUACGUCGGAGUCUGACGGUACCGGGUGAGGAAGCCCCGGCUAACUCUGUGCCAGCAGCCGCGGUAAUACAGAGGGGGCAAGCGUUGUUCGGAAUUACUGGGCGUAAAGGGCGCGUAGGUGGCCUGCUAAGUCGAACGUGAAAUCCCCGGGCUCAACCCGGGAACUGCGUCCGAUACUGGCAGGCUUGAAUUCGGGAGAGGGAUGUGGAAUUCCAGGUGUAGCGGUGAAAUGCGUAGAUAUCUGGAGGAACACCGGUGGCGAANGCGGCAUCCUGGACCGAGAUUGACGCUGAUGCGCGAAAGCCAGGGGAGCAAACGGGAUUAGAUACCCCGGUAGUCCUGGCCCUAAACGAUGAAUGCUUGGUGUGGCGGGUAUCGAUCCCUGCCGUGCCGAAGCUAACGCAUUAAGCAUUCCGCCUGGGGAGUACGGUCGCAAGGCUG